rnacentral:rRNA from 1 species
CCUACGGGGGGCUGCAGUCGAGAAUUUUUCACAAUGGGGGAAACCCUGAUGGAGCGACGCCGCGUGGGGGAUGAAUGGCUUCGGCCCGUAAACCCCUGUCAUUUGCGAGCAAAGCGCAUUAUUUAAAAGAUGAUGUGUUGAUAGUAGCGGAAGAGGAAGGGACGGCUAACUCUGUGCCAGCAGCCGCGGUAAUACAGAGGUCCCGAGCGUUGUUCGGAUUCACUGGGCGUAAAGGGUGCGUAGGUGGUGAGGUGUGUCGGAUGUGAAAUCUCGGAGCUCAACUCCGAAACUGCAUUGGAAACUACCUUGCUGGAGGGUUGGAGGGGGGACUGGAAUACUUGGUGUAGCAGUGAAAUGCGUAGAUAUCAAGUGGAACACCAGUGGCGAAGGCGAGUCCCUGGACAACUCCUGACACUGAGGCACGAAAGCUAGGGGAGCAAACAGGAUUAGAUACCCCGGUAGUC